CCUGUACAUGGAAAGCUGCUCUGGUUCCUUGAUGAGCCAGCUGCCCGUGAGUUAACAUGUCCCGUGGAGAAGCACUCUGUCCUGUAAAGCCUCACCAAAAAAAAGGAGUGGUGUGUUUAGUAUUGUUCUGAUCAGUUUAAUACCUUUCGCGUCUCCUAUCAGUGGAUGUGUAUAUGGCAGCCAUUUUAGGAACCGCACACCUGGGACCCGAGCAAGGUCACCUCGUUCAACAGGCGACAACAUUUGUCCCUGGAAAACUAUCCUGGACAUUCUGUACAAUUUGUAUGGAUAUGGCAGUGAUUUCUGUAACAGGGAGAUGGAAGAAGAUGCUUGGUCGGUCCUCUUACUGCAAAUUUGGG